CACGUAGGGUGCGAGCGUUGUCCGGAAUUAUUGGGCGUAAAGAGCUCGUAGGCGGUUUGUCGCGUCUGCCGUGAAAGUCCGGGGCUCAACUCCGGAUCUGCGGUGGGUACGGGCAGACUAGAGUGCAGUAGGGGGAGACUGGAAUUCCUGGUGUAGCGGUGAAAUGCGCAGAUAUCAGGAGGAACACCGAUGGCGAAGGCAGGUCUCUGGGCUGUAACUGACGCUGAGGAGCGAAAGCAUGGGGAGCGAACAGG
rnacentral:rRNA from 1 species